UACGGGGGGGGUAAGCGUUGUUCGGAAUUACUGGGCGUAAAGGGCUCGUAGGCGGCCAACUAAGUCAGACGUGAAAUCCCUCAGCUUAACUGGGGAACUGCGUCUGAUACUGGAUGGCUUGGAUUCGGGAGAGGAAUGCAGAAUUCCAGGUGUAGCGGUGAAAUGCGUAGAUAUCUGGAGGAAUACCGGUGGCGAAGGCGGCAUCCUGGACCGGCAUUGACGCUGAGGAGCGAAAGCCAGGGGAGCAAACGGG
rnacentral:rRNA from 1 species